AAAAGAUUUAUCGGUGAUGGAUGGGGAUGCGUCUGAUUAGCUUGUUGGCGGGGUAACGGCCCACCAAGGCGACGAUCAGUAGGGGUUCUGAGAGGAAGGUCCCCCACAUUGGAACUGAGACACGGUCCAAACUCCUACGGGAGGCAGCAGUGAGGAAUAUUGGUCAAUGGGCGAGAGCCUGAACCAGCCAAGUAGCGUGCAGGAAGACGGCCCUAUGGGUUGUAAACUGCUUUUAUAGGGGAAUAAAGUGAGCCACGUGUGGUUUUUUGGCAUGUACCCUAUGAAUAAGGACCGGCUAAUUCCGUGCCAGCAGCCGCGGUAAUACGGAAGGUCCGGGCGUUAUCCGGAUUUAUUGGGUUUAAAGGGAGCGUAGGCCGGAGAUUAAGCGUGUUGUGAAAUGUAGAUGCUCAACAUCUGCACUGCAGCGCGAACUGGUUUCCUUGAGUACGCAUAAAGUGGGCGGAAUUCGUGGUGUAGCGGUGAAAUGCUUAGAUAUCACGAAGAACUCCGAUUGCGAAGGCAGCUCACUGGGGCGCAACUGACGCUGAAGCUCGAAAGCGCGGGUAUCGAACAGGAUUAGAUACCCUGGUAGUCCGCGCGGUAAACGAUGGAUGCCCGCUGUUGGGCCAACUGGUUCAGCGGCCAAGCGAAAGCAUUAAGCAUCCCACCUGGGG
rnacentral:rRNA from 1 species